rnacentral:rRNA from 2 species
UUCGGUGAUCAUGGCGAGAGGGAAACGCCCGGCUCCAUUCCGAACCCGGAAGCUAAGCCUCUCAGCGCCGAUGGUACUGCAGGUGGGAACCUGUGGGAGAGUAGGACGUCGCCGGAC